UCUUUCCAAAAAUGUAACUUUCAUGUACCAAAACAUCACCAUGCAAAAUGGCAUUUUUGAACUUGCCUUAAUUAAUUUCAAGUGAGUGGAAUUUUGACUUUUCAAAAUAAUCAUUUCUAAUCAAUUCUACCAUUCAAAUAUGAUCUGAAAAUGCAUUUGAGACUUGUUGGAAGCCCAUUCUUGUGCAGUACACAUAGCCAUCACCUAGUUGCUUGAAAUUUGGAAGAAAAGUACACUUCUCACCAACUAUACUCCACAUUUUCAUGGCCUUUGAU
rnacentral:lncRNA from 1 species